GGGUCCUUAGCUCAGUUGGUAGAGCAACUGACUUUUAAUCAGUAGGUCGCUGGUUCGAACCCAGCAGGACUCACCA
rnacentral:tRNA from 1 species